rnacentral:rRNA from 1 species
GUAGGCGCGCAAUUACCCAAUCCCGACACGGGGAGGUAGUGACAAUAAAUACUGAUACAGGGCUCUUUUGGGUCUUGUAAUUGGAAUGAGUACAAUUUAAAUCCCUUAACGAGGAACAAUUGGAGGGCAAGUCUGGUGCCAGCAGCCGCGGUAAUUCCAGCUCCAAUAGCGUAUAUUAAAGUUGUUGUGGUUAAAAAGCUCGUAGUUGAACCUUGGGCCUGGCUGGCCGGUCCGCCUCACCGCGUGUACUGGUCCGGCCGGGCCUUUCCCUCUGUGGAACCCCAUGCCCUUCACUGGGUGUGGCGGGGAAACAGGACUUUUACUUUGAAAAAAUUAGAGUGCUCCAGGCAGGCCUAUGCUCGAAUACAUUAGCAUGGAAUAAUAGAAUAGGACGUGUGGUUCUAUUUUGUUGGUUUCUAGGACCGCCGUAAUGAUUAAUAGGGACAGUCGGGGGCAUCAGUAUUCAAUUGUCAGAGGUGAAAUUCUUGGAUUUAUUGAAGACUAACUACUGCGAAAGCAUUUGCCAAGGAUGUUUUCAUUAAUCAGGAACGAAAGUUAGGGGAUCGAAGACGAUCAGAUACCGUCGUAGUCUUAACCACAAACUAUGCCGACUAGGGAUCGGACGAUGUUAUUUUUUGACUCGUUCGGCACCUUACGAG